rnacentral:tRNA from 1 species
GGUGGGUUGGCUCAGCGGUUAGAGCGUAGGUCUCGUAACCGAAGGUUGCGGGAUCGAAUCCCGCUAGAGGCUG